AUUGAACGCUGGCGGCAGGCUUAACACAUGCAAGUCGAGCGGAGAUGAGGUGCUUGCACCUUAUCUUAGCGGCGGACGGGUGAGUAAUGCUUAGGAAUCUGCCUAUUAGUGGGGGACAACAUUCCGAAAGGAAUGCUAAUACCGCAUACGUCCUACGGGAGAAAGCAGGGGAUCUUCGGACCUUGCGCUAAUAGAUGAGCCUAAGUCGGAUUAGCUAGUUGGUGGGGUAAAGGCCUACCAAGGCGACGAUCUGUAGCGGGUCUGAGAGGAUGAUCCGCCACACUGGGACUGAGACACGGCCCAGACUCCUACGGGAGGCAGCAGUGGGGGAUAUUGGACAAUGGGGGAAACCCUGAUCCAGCCAUGCCGCGUGUGUGAAGAAGGCCUUAUGGUUGUAAAGCACUUUAAGCGAGGAGGAGGCUACUGAGACUAAUACUCUUGGAUAGUGGACGUUACUCGCAGAAUAAGCACCGGCUAACUCUGUGCCAGCAGCCGCGGUAAUAC
rnacentral:rRNA from 1 species